UACGUAGGGUGCGAGCGUUGUCCGGAAUUACUGGGCGUAAAGAGCUCGUAGGUGGUUUGUCGCGUUGUUCGUGAAAACCGGGGGCUUAACCCUCGGCGUGCGGGCGAUACGGGCAGACUGGAGUACUGCAGGGGAGACUGGAAUUCCUGGUGUAGCGGUGGAAUGCGCAGAUAUCAGGAGGAACACCGGUGGCGAAGGCGGGUCUCUGGGCAGUAACUGACGCUGAGGCGCGAAAGCGUGGGGAGCAAACAGG
rnacentral:rRNA from 1 species